rnacentral:rRNA from 1 species
UACGGAGGGUGCGAGCGUUGUCCGGAAUCACUGGGCGUAAAGGGCGCGUAGGCGGCUCGUGAAGUCAGUGGUAAAAGCCCAGGCUCAACUCUGGGUCGGCCACUGAUACUCGCGAGCUCGAGUUUGGUAGAGGCAGAUGGAAUUCCGGGUGUAGCGGUGGAAUGCGUAGAGAUCCGGAAGAACACCGGUGGCGAAGGCGGUCG